GACGAACGCUGGCGGCGUGCUUAACACAUGCAAGUCGAACGGGUCUGCCCUGUUUUUUGCGGGGUGGGUCAGUGGCGAACGGGUGAGUAACACGUGAGUAACCUGCCCCUCACUUCUGGAUAACCGCUGGAAAGGGUGGCUAAUACGGGGUGGUCUGGCUGUUCCGCAUGGGGGGGCGGGGAAAGUUUCCCGUUGGGGGUGGUUUGGGGGGGGAUGGGCUCGCGGGCUAUGAGGUUGUUGGGGGGGUGAUGGCCGGGCAGGGCUUUGGCGGGUGUCCGGCCUGGGAGGGUGGGCGGUCACACUGGGACUGCGUUCCGGCCCAGACUCCUGCGGGAGGCAGCAGUGGGGGGUAUUGCACAAUGGGCGGAAGUCUGAUGCAGGGACGUCGCGUGAGGGAUGGAGGCCUUCGGGUUGUGAACCUCUUUCGCCGGUGAAGAAGGUCCUGCUCUUUGUGGUGGGGUUGACGGUAGCCGGGUUAUGAAGCGCCGGCUAACUACGUG
rnacentral:rRNA from 1 species